CAGCCGCCACGGUAAUACGUAGGGUGCAAGCGUUAAUCGGAAUUACUGGGCGUAAAGCGUGCGCAGGCGGUUAGAUAAGCCAGAUGUGAAAUCCCCGAGCUCAACUUGGGAACUGCGUUUGGAACUGUUUAACUAGAGUGCGUCAGAGGGGGGUGGAAUUCCGCGUGUAGCAGUGAAAUGCGUAGAGAUGCGGAGGAACACCGAUGGCGAAGGCAGCCCCCUGGGAUGACACUGACGCUCAUGCACGAAAGCGUGGGGAGCAAACAGGAUUAGAUACCCGAGUAGUCCCUGUCUCUUAUAC
rnacentral:rRNA from 1 species